rnacentral:rRNA from 1 species
CCUACGGGAGGCAGCAGUGAGGAAUAUUGGUCAAUGGGCGAGAGCCUGAACCAGCCAAGUCGCGUGAGGGCUGAAGGAUCUAUGGUUUGUCAACUUCUUUUAUAUGGGAAUAAACUGCUGAACGUGUUCCUUUUUGUAUAUCCCAUAUGAAUAAGCAUCCGCUAACUCCGUGCCAGCAGCCGCGGUAAUACGGAGUAUGCCAGCGUUAUCCGGAUUUAUUGGGUUUAAAGGGUGCGUAGGUGGUUAAUUAAGUCAGCGGUGAAAGUUUGUGGCUCAACCAUAAGAUUGCCGUUGAAACUGGUUGACUUGAGUAUGUUUGAGGUAGGCGGAAUGCGUGGUGUAGCGGUGAAAUGCAUAGAUAUCACGCAGAACUCCGAUUGCGAAGGCAGCUUACUAAACUAUAACUGACACUGAAGCACGAAAGCGUGGGGAUCGAACAGGAUUAGAUACCCUAGUAGUC